rnacentral:rRNA from 1 species
CUUCCGCCGGCGACCGGCGCACGGGUGAGUAACACGUAUGCAACCUGCCCCUGUCAGGGGGACAACCCGCCGAAAGGCGGGCUAAACCCGCGUACAUGCCACCGGGGCAUCCCGGAGGCAGGAAAGGCUUCGGCCGGACAGGGAUGGGCAUGCGGCGCAUUAGGCAGUAGGCGAGGUAACGGCCCACCUAACCGACGAUGCGUAGGGGUUCUGAGAGGAAGGUCCCCCACACUGGUACUGAGACACGGACCAGACUCCUACGGGAGGCAGCAG